UAGUCGCAAGACCAAAGAGGGGGACCUUCGGGCCUCUUGCCAUCGGAUGUGCCCAGAUGGGAUUAGCUAGUAGGUGGGGUAAGGCUCACCUAGGCGACGAUCCCUAGCUGGUCUGAGAGGAUGACCAGCCACACUGGAACUGAGACACGGUCCAGACUCCUACGGGAGGCAGCAUG
rnacentral:rRNA from 1 species